rnacentral:lncRNA from 1 species
AGGCCUUGUUCGGUUAUUUCAAUUCCAUGUGUAUUGUGUGUGUAUUGGGAUGGAUUGAGAUGUAUUUUGACUUACUAUGGAAUUAAACCGACUCAAUAUCAUCCAAUCCACAUGGAUUAACGGCGAAACGAACAAGCCCUAAUGAUUUAUAGAUACAUUCCACAUUUUUGGCAAAGAAUAAGAUAGUUCAUUCGUAUUGAACGGCCGAAGCUCCCACACCUGCUUC